rnacentral:rRNA from 1 species
GCUAAUUAGUAAAAGUUAUGUUCUUGAAAAUUAAAAAAUUUGGCGGUAUUUUAGUCUUUUCAGAGGAACCUGUCCUGUAAUUGAUAGUCCACGAUUAGAAAAACUUUAUUUAUUAAUUUAUAUAUCGUUGUAGUUUGAAUAUUUUAAGAGAAGUUAAAUAUUCAUAAUUUUAAAUUAAAAAAUAAAUCAGAUCAAGGUAUAGUUUAUAAUAAAGUAGAGAUGGGUUACAUUAAAAAUAUUUAAGGAUAAUUUUUUUUAAAAGGAUUUGAAUGUGGAUUU